rnacentral:rRNA from 1 species
CCUGACUGCUAUCGGAUUGAUACUAAGCCAUGCGAGUCUUUGCAGUAAUGCAAGGCAUACGGCUCAGUAACACGUAGUCAACCUACCCUAUGGACGAGAAUAAUCUCGGGAAACUGAGCAUAAUUCUUGAUAGAUCAUAAUGCCUGGAAUGGUUUAUGGUUAAAAUGAUUCGUCGCCAUAGGAUGGGACUGCGGCCUAUCAGCUUGUUGGUGAGGUAAUGGCCCACCAAGGCGAUUACAGGUACGGGCUCUGAGAGGAGAAGCCCGGAGAUGGGUACUGAGACACGGACCCAGGCCCUAUGGGGCGCAGCAGGCGAGAAAACUUUGCAAUGUGCGAAAGCACGACAAGGUUAAUCCGAGUGAUUUCUGCUAAAGAAAUCUUUUACCAGUCGUAAAACCGCUGGUGAAUAAGGGGUGGGCAAGUUCUGGUGUCAGCCGCCGCGGUAAAACCAGCACCUCAAGUGGUCAGGAUGAUUAUUGGGCCUAAAGCAUCCGUAGCCGGCUUUGUAAGUUUUCGGUUAAAUCCAUGUGCUCAACGCAUGGGCUGCCGAAAAUACUGCAUGGCUAGGGAGUGGGAGAGGUAGACGGUACUCAGUAGGUAGGGGUAAAAUCCUUUGAUCUAUUGAUGACCACCUGUGGCGAAGGCGGUCUACCAGAACACGUUCGACGGUGAGGGAUGAAAGCUGGGGGAGCAAACCGGAUUAGAUACCCGGGUAGUCCCAGCUGUAAACGAUGCAGACUCGAUGAUGCAUUGGCAUAAUAGCCAUUGCAGUGUCGCAGGGAAGCCGUUAAGUCUGCCGCCUGGGAAGUACGUACGCAAGUAUGAAACUUAAAGGAAUUGGCGGGGGAGCACGAGCAAGGGGUGAAGCCUGCGGUUC